GACGAACGCUGGCGGCGUGCUUAACACAUGCAAGUCGAACGGUAAGGCCCUUUCGGGGGUACACGAGUGGCGAACGGGUGAGUAACACGUGGGUGAUCUGCCCUGCACUUUGGGAUAAGCCUGGGAAACUGGGUCUAAUACCGGAUAGGACUACGCGAUGCAUGUCGUGUGGUGGAAAGCUUUUGCGGUGUGGGAUGGGCCCGCGGCCUAUCAGCUUGUUGGUGGGGUGAUGGCCUACCAAGGCGACGACGGGUAGCCGGCCUGAGAGGGUGUCCGGCCACACUGGGACUGAGAUACGGCCCAGACUCCUACGGGAGGCAGCAGUGGGGAAUAUUGCACAAUGGGCGCAAGCCUGAUGCAGCGACGCCGCGUGGGGGAUGACGGCCUUCAGGUUGUAAACCCCUUUCAGCACAGACGAAGCGUAAGUGACGGUAUGUGCAGAAGAAGCACCGGCCAACUACGUG
rnacentral:rRNA from 1 species